UGCAGGAGGUCAUCAAAUGGAUGUGACCCCCGGUUGACCCUUGAGGCCAGCGAGAGGAUCGGGGGCUCCUCCCCUAGGCCGUCCUGGGAAGGCACGUUCUGCACGUUCCGCGGAUUGUUCCCGGGCCAGCGCCAUAUUCAGGGACGCGAACGGGAGCGAGCAAUGCGUUGCCGAGACCAUCUGGACGGUACACUUAACCCAGAUAAGGCCUCUGUAUAAACUUUGGAGUUUCUGGCAGGCGGGUGUGGAGAUCUAUGCGCCUUGCAGCUUCUCCAGAGAAGCCUCGCAUGAUGGUGUGGAGCUGAGCUGUGCAGUAGGAUUCUCUACGAUGAUGGAAAAAUCCUGAAUUUUCACUGCCUAAUACUGAGGCCAUUAGACUCAUGCAGAUUUACAGAGGUGACGUGUCAGAUGGAGAAACCGAGCAAUGACUUGACAAAGGACCUACAUUAAGCCUGUGUCAUGUGAAGAAUUGAGCCGCCCUGGACACAUUCCCAUCCCGAAGGCUUAGCUGUGCAAUGAAUGCGAUCAGCCGGUGUGUUAAGCUUUCCUUAUACAUGCCUCAGGAAGGAAGCAUCUUGAUUUAAAAGCUGCUUGUGAUGCUGCAUUGGUAAGAAUCCUGGGAGCAUCUUAGCUCUGUCCUCUCCACACAGCCUGUCUUAGCCCAUCCUCACAGCAGGCUGUUCUGUGACUUGCAGCAGUUGAAUCCAAUACCCUAACUGUCCUUCUGUCUUGCGUGCCUCCUCCUAAUUAACCAAUGGGGAAGGACUGUGACAACACUGCCUCUCAUGUCGAAUCCAUUUAUCUAUUCUUACCCACACAACUUGCAAACUAGAGGAUCCUGGGCAACUCCCAGCGGGUGCCUGGAGCAUAAGGGAAAAAUGUGUCUGGGAGGUUGUAGUAACUGCGUGGGCCCAUGACAUUAGCAUGAGUUUGUGUAUUGUUGGAAGCAUGUAUGCUGGGGUCGGAAGAGCUGGGUUCAAAUUCUCCUCUGCUAUUUGCUAUUUGUGCUAAAUUAUUUUCUGCCCAUCCUCCCUCUAAUCUUUUUUCUUGAUUAAAAAUCUUACACAAAAUGCUGAAGCUCUUAGUCUACCUGUGUUCUUAUAACAACAAAUUGAAAAGAGCAGCAUCUGUCAUAUAGAUUUGUUUUAAAUGAAAUAAUCCGUGUAAAGUGUUUAUGCCCUGUUUGGUGCACAAAGUGCUCUCAUUGAAUAGGUGUUUCCUAUUAUUGCUGUUCCUCUUCUUUCUGUAUCAACUUUGCAUUAUAAUCCAUUGUACGGUCUUUAUAUGACAUCAGUAUAUAGACCAUUUUAUAGCUCAAUAUCAGCUUUGCUGCCUCAUUCACUGCCAUAAGAUCUGAAAUAAAUCUCCUUCCCUUUCUCUUUCUCCCUCUCCCUCCCUCUCUUUCUCUCUGCCCCGCUCCCCCCCCCCCACCUUAUUUCUUGUUACUCUAGCUUUUGUAGGUUCUACAAAUUUUAGGUUUAAGGUAACCCGGGUCACCAUUUCCUUAUUGCUUUGCUUUGCUUUGUGUUCACUACUCAUAGCAUACUUUCCUUGUGACUUUCUGUAUUGGAGACUGUACCCUUGAACUUGGUGAAAAGUAAAUCUGCUAUAAUCUAGAAGCUGCCAUUUGUGUGAAGCUCUAGCAGUAAAUGCAGAAACUAUACAACUUUAUAAAUCAAUAGAAUUCACUUUUCUGUUCUAAUUUAAAUUUAUUUUAGAUAGUUCUUGGAUGGGACAGUUUCUGAGGUCUUCAACUAUUAGCCAUCUGAUGUUCUGAAUUGUUGAAAGAGACCAGGCCCAUUUCUCCAUUAAAAAAAUCUUAUGAUGCUAACACUGUCCUGUUCACACAGCAUCUUGCUCAGAGUCAAGUUGAGUCAGAGACAUCUGUAUCCAUCAAGACUGUUCUUUCUUUUUUUUUUUUUUUAAAUUUUUUUUAAUGUUUAUUUUUGAGAGAGAGA